rnacentral:rRNA from 1 species
GCACAAGCGGUGGAUGAUGUGGUUUAAUUCGAUGCAACGCGAAAACCUUACCUACCCUUGACAUGUCCGGAAUCCCGAAGAGGUUUGGGAGUGCUCGCAAGAGAACCGGAACACAGGUGCUGCAUGGCUGUCGUCAGCUCGUGUCGUGAGAUGUUGGGUUAAGUCCCGCAACGAGCGCAACCCUUGUCAUUAGUUGCCAUCAUUUGGUUGGGCACUCUAAUGAGACUGCCGGUGACAAACCGGAGGAAGGUGGGGAUGACGUCAAGUCCUCAUGGCCCUUAUGGGUAGGGCUUCACACGUCAUACAAUGGUCGGUACAGAGGGUUGCCAACCCGCGAGGGGGAGCUAAUCCCACAAAGCCGAUCGUAGUCCGGAUCGCAGUCUGCAACUCGACUGCGUGAAGUCGGAAUCGCUAGUAAUCGUGGAUCAGCAUGUCACGGUGAAUACGUUCCCGGGUCUU